rnacentral:tRNA from 1 species
CGCGGAGUGGAGCAGUUGGUAGCUCGCCAGGCUCAUAACCUGGAGGUCGCUCGUUCGAGUCGGGUCUCCGCCACUA